GAGGGCCUAAUUCUGUUGUGAAAAAUAAUUCUCCCAGUAGAUAUCAAAAUCGACGCUUAAACCUCAGAUCUCUGCUCCCAAACUGUGCAAAUCUUAGGCCAAGCCACAAUAAUAUUUGAUUCAAGCAACUGUACAUUGAUUUUGGGCACAUUUUACCUUUAGCAGAUCCUGUUAGGGUUUGCCUCUCCACUCCAGGAAAGUAUACAUUCAAGGAGAGUCUCGGGAAACUAGAUGCGUAGCAAAUAUUGCAGUAAGCAUAUCUACCUCCCAUGUUCGCUUGCGAAACGAUUUAUGUGUUUAGAAUGUGUCCU